GACGAACGCUGGCGGCGCGCUUAACACAUGCAAGUCGAACGGAAAGGCCUGCUUUCCCUUGUGGAUUGCGGGUACUCGAGUGGCGAACGGGUGAGUAACACGUGAGUGAUCUGCCCCCAACUUGGGUAUAAGCCUGGGAAACUGGGUCUAAUUCCCGAUAGUACUGCAGGGUGGUGCCUGUGGUGGAAAACGAUUUUCUAGUGGUUGGGGAUGAGCUCGCGGCCUAUCAGCUUGUUGGUGGGGUAAUGGCCUACCAAGGCGGCGACGGGUAGCCGGCCUGGGAGGGUGGACGGGGAAAUUGGGACUGGGACACGGCCCAGACGCCUACGGGAGGCAGCAGUGGGGAAUAUUGCACAAUGGGCGGAAGCCUGAUGCAGCGACGCCGCGUGGGGGAUGACGGGCUUCGGGUUGUAAACUCCUUUCGACCGCGAGGAAGCCACCUGGUUGGAAGGGUGGUGACGGUAGUGGUAGAAGAAGCACCGGCUAACUACGUG
rnacentral:rRNA from 1 species